AGUGAACGCUGGCGGUAGGCCUAACACAUGCAAGUCGAACGGCAGCACAGAGGAGCUUGCUCCUUGGGUGGCGAGUGGCGGACGGGUGAGGAAUACAUCGGAAUCUACUCUGUCGUGGGGGGUAACGUAGGGAAACUUACGCUAAUACCGCAUACGACCUACGGGUGAAAGCAGGGGAUCUUCGGACCUUGCGCGAUUGAAUGAGCCGAUGUCGGAUUAGCUAGUUGGCGGGGUAAAGGCCCACCAAGGCGACGAUCCGUAGCUGGUCUGAGAGGAUGAUCAGCCACACUGGAACUGAUACACGGUCCAGAGUCCUACGGGAGGCAGCAGUGGGGAAUAUUGGACAAUGGGCGCAAGCCUGAUCCAGCCAUACCGCGUGGGUGAAGAAGGCCUUCGGGUUGUAAAGCCCUUUUGUUGGGAAAGAAAUCCAUCUGGUUAAUACCCGGGUGGGAUGACGGUACCCAAAGAAUAAGCACCGGCUAACUUCGUGCCAGCCGCCGCAGUAA
rnacentral:rRNA from 1 species